rnacentral:rRNA from 1 species
UACAGAGGGUGCGAGCGUUGUCCGGAAUCAUUGGGCGUAAAGCGCGUGUAGGCGGCCAGACAGGUCAGCUGUGAAAACUCGAGGCUCAACCUCGAGACGUCGGUUGAAACCGUCUGGCUAGAGUCCGGAAGAGGAGAGUGGAAUUCCCGGUGUAGCGGUGAAAUGCGCAGAUAUCGGGAGGAACACCGGUGGCGAAGGCAGGUCUCUGGGCCAUUACUGACACUGAGAAGCGAAAGCAUGGGGAGCGAACAGG